rnacentral:lncRNA from 10 species
AAUCCGUGGGGUCAGGGAGGGCUUCCUGGAGGAGGUGGCGUUUGCGCUGGGCAGGCAGGACUGUGAGAUCAGGCCUUUUGGUGAAGGUAGCAUGGGCAGAGGGAGCCAACCCACUGAUGCAGAAAUGGUGGAGUGUGUUGAAAGAUUGAGGAUUGGGCCAGGUGUGAUGGUUCAUGCCUGUAAUCCCAGCACUUUGGAAGGCCAAGGCGGGUGGAUCCCCUGAGGUCAGGAGUUCGAGACCAGCCUGGCCAACAUGGAGAAACCCCAUCUCUACUAAAAAUACAAAAAUUAGCCAGGCAUGGUGGUGCAUGCCUAUAAUCCCAGCUACUUGGGAGGCUGAGGCAGGAGAAUCGCUUGAACCUCGAAGGCAGAGGUUGCAGUGAGCAGAGAUCGCACCACUGCACUCCAGCCUGGGUGACAAGAGCAAAACUCCAUCUCAAAAAAAAAAAAAGAAAAAGAAAGAAAGAUUGAGGAUUGCAUUUUCACUGGAAAGAAAGCAGGGACUGGGUCAUGGAGAACCUUGAAUGCCAGGCUAGAGGGCCUGGGCUUCCUUCUGUGGCAGUGCUGAGCUCUGGAAAAGUUUGAAGAACAAUGGCGGGGUCAGAUUUGGGUUGAUGGUGGGGACAUUGGAGGGAGGGCAGAGAGAAUCAGCAGGUUUGCCAAGGACAUCCUUGCUUCAUGGGGCAGCUUCGCAGAGGAGGGUCAGGUCAGGUAAAGCUCCAGGCCCAGGAUGGCAAGCAGAGCCUGGUGGCCACAGUCAAAAAUAAGGACUGGACCAGAGGCCUCUAGGGCCCCUCAGGACCUUGUCUUGCCCCUGGCCAGGCCCCUGGUCACCAACCUCUGAGGCUGCUCCUGGGACUGACCAGUAAGUCUAGGACCACCAUGCCAGGUCCGGGUCCAUCUCUGGGUGUGUGGAAGGAGACAGAAGAUAAGCAAAGGCAGAGAGAGAAACAGGUCACCUCCAGUGAAUCCAUAAAUGCACUGAAAUCACAAUUUGCAUCCCAUAGGGGUUUCUGGUAGACUUUGGCAAUGUGAUUCUGAAGUUAAUUUGGCAGAGAAAAUGCCCAGGAACAGCCAAGAACAUUGUGAAAAAAUAACAGUGAAAGGGGAUUUGCCUCUCAGUUAUCAAAAUACAGUGAUUGUAACUAAAACAGCAGAGGGAUGGACUAAGAUCAAUGAGCCAGAGUCCUCAUUUCUGUGGGGAUUUAGUGUAGGAUGAAAGUUGCAUCUCAAAUGAGUGGUUUGGGAAGAACUAUCUAUCCAUCUGGAUUGAAAGAAAAGUUUGGCCUGUGUUUCAAACCAUCUUGCAGAAUAAAGUCCCGAUAGGGGAAAGUAAAGCAAAAAGCAAGCUCUUAAAAUCUAGAACUAUAAAUCAACAAGAAAAAGACAAAUAACUCAGUAGAAAAAUGGGCACGGGAUAGCUACAGACAGUUUCAGGAGAAGACACCCAAACGGCCAAUACGUGUAGGAAGAGACAGGGCUCAGCUUCUCUAGUAACCAGGGAAAUGCAAAUUAGAACAACAAUGAGAUCCCAUUUCACACCCGUCAGAUUGGCAACAAUUAAAAAGGCUGACAAUACCAAGUGUGAUCAAAGCUGUGGGGAAUCGGGGACUCCAGCCCUGCUGGUGGGAGUGUAAAUUGGUAGAGGCUCUUUGGAGAGCGAAACGGCAGGAUAUUGUAAAACUCUGUUUAUCUCCCGUGGCCCAGCCUUCUACUUGGGGUAUACACCCAAGAGAGAAACUCCAGCUUGUAGACACAUGCAUGUAAGAAGCACUGGAAUAGCCAAAAAAAAAAAAAAAGGAAGCAAUCUAAAUGACCAUCACUGGGUGUGCACAGAUUAAUGGUGUGUAUGUAUGACUCUUUUCUUUUUUUUUUAGACGGAGUUUCGCUCUUGCUGCCCAGGCUGGAGUGCAAUGGCACAAUCUGGGUUCACUGCAACCUCCGCCUCCCGGGUUCAAGCGAUUCUCCUGCCUCAGCCUCCCAAGUAGCUGGGAUUACAGGCACGCGCCACCACACCCAGCUAAUUUUUGUAUUUUUAAUAGAGAUGGGGUUUCACCAUGUUGACAAGGCUAGUCUGGAACUCCUGACCUCAGGUGAUCCUACCGCCUCAGCCUCCUAAAGUGCUGGAAUUAUAGGUGUGAGCCACUGUGCCGGGCCCUGUGAGACUCAACAGGAAAAGAAUGAACUAGAUCUUAAUUAACCAGCAUAAAUGGGUUUCAAAAAGAUAAGAAUGAGGGAGCAAAAGCAAGUUACAGGAUAAGAUGCGUGGAGGGUUUCCUUUCAUGUCCAUUUUAUUUUUAAAUAUUGUUUAUUUUG